rnacentral:lncRNA from 12 species
UUAGCAUUUCAGUGGUGAAUACAGAAGACAAAACCAGUAUAGAACAAGUAACAUGGAAAGAGAAGAAGAGACAGUACUAGAUACAGAACAGACAACAGGAGGAGAAAACUCAGACUUUGGCAAAGCCACAUUACCCAAUGGGGCUGCAGGGAAUGUCAGCGAGGGGCAGGUGGGAUCGGCAGUCUGACCCCGCAGACAUGUAUUGUGCUCCUGCUGUGUGCCAAGAGAGGAGAUGUGCAAGUGUGCAAGCGGGCGGUGGACAGGCUCACCAUCGAGGAGCCCUGGCCUGGAGGGAGAGAUGGGAUUUCAGCCCACGGAGGCGAAAUGCUGAUGUGCUGCGAGGAGGUGAGUCCACAGAGGAGAGGAGGAGAGAGUUAAAUGUGGCGAGGUCAAGGAUGGCUUUCUGGAAGAAAGACAUGCUCCGGCUUCCUACCUAAGUGCCUCCUUCCUUGGCACGCUUCACAGGUACCCAAAGCCCCUGCUCUGUGUGCCAGGGAGGACACAAAUUGCGUGGGAAGCUGUGUCUCCCAUAGGGCACUGACAGUCCAGUGAUGCAGGUGGCAUGUGCACAGAUAGUGGCGUUACGGAGUGGCUGACAGGGCUGGUAGGACGGCACUGCCCGGGCCACGGACCAAGGAGGGGUGACCUGGCUGCAGUUCUCCUGAUUACCAGGGGCUCACCUGUUUGCCCUGUGCUGAUAGCCACUGGUUACGUUGUGCUUUUCCUAUACCAGGCCUGGCUCUUAAGUAUUCUGGACAGAGCAACACACGUCAUCCUCACACCACCCUAAAUGAGAACGUGAAGGCAGAGAGAAGUGUCUGGAAGCACAGCUGGGGCCAGGACCUGAAUCUUGGCUGUCUGGCUCCCGAGUCCUUACUUGUCACCCCUCACUACGCACCUUCCAAUGGAGAACAAGCUUCAUUCUGGCCUUUCUUUAGGGGGAGGUGACUGAGCCCACUGUCUGAUCUGGCUUCUGGGGAGAAGGCUGAAGAAACUUCCAAGGAAUAUUGGAGAGGGGAUUUUUUUUUUUAAGUUGUGGACUCCUGCUCCCAACCCCCACCCUGCCACAUAACAGUCACAUGUGUGUUCACACCUACAACUACCCGCUUGGGUCUCAACUCUGCCUUUGCAACAAAAUCACCCACAGCUUUAAAUAAAAUACAGCUGCUGAGGCCCUUCCCGGAUAUA